CGGCGUGCCUAACACAUGCAAGUCGAACGAUGCACCUUACCGGAUUCUUUGGAUGAAAGUUUGGUGACUGAGUGGCGGACGGGUGAGUAACGCGUGGGUAACCUGCCCUGUACAGGGGGAUAACAGCUGGAAACGGCUGCCAAUACCGCAUAAGCGCACGAGGGGACAUCUCCUUGUGUGAAAAACUCCGGUGGUACAGGAUGGGCCCGCGUCUGAUUAGCUGGUUGGCAGGGUAACGGCCUACCAAGGCAACGAUCAGUAGCCGGUCUGAGAGGAUGAACGGCCACAUUGGAACUGAGACACGGUCCAAACUCCUACGGGAGGCAGCAGUGGGGAAUAUUGCACAAUGGGGGAAACCCUGAUGCAGCAACGCCGCGUGAGUGAAGAAGUAUUUCGGUAUGUAAAGCUCUAUCAGCAGGGAAGAUAAUGACGGUACCUGACUAAGAAGCUCCGGCUAAAUACGUGCCAGCAGCCGCGGUAAAACGUAGGUCACAAGCGUUGUCCGGAAUUACUGGGUGUAAAGGGAGCGCAGGCGGGAAGACAAGUUGGAAGUGAAAUCUAUGGGCUCAACCCAUAAACUGCUUUCAAAACUGUUUUUCUUGAGUAGUGCAGAGGUAGGCGGAAUUCCCGGUGUAGCGGUGGAAUGCGUAGAUAUCGGGAGGAACACCAGUGGCGAAGGCGGCCUACUGGGCACCAACUGACGCUGAGGCUCGAAAGUGUGGGUAGCAAACAGGAUUAGAUACCCUGGUAGUCCACACCGUAAACGAUGAUUACUAGGUGUUGGAGGAUUGACCCCUUCAGUGCCGCAGUUAACACAAUAAGUAAUCCACCUGGGGAGUACGACCGCAAGGUUGAAACUCAAAGGAAUUGACGGGGGCCCGCACAAGCAGUGGAGUAUGUGGUUUAAUUCGACGCAACGCGAAGAACCUUACCAAGUCUUGACAUCCCUUGACAGGCAUAGAAAUAUGUUUUCUCUUCGGAGCAAGGAGACAGGUGGUGCAUGGUUGUCGUCAGCUCGUGUCGUGAGAUGUUGGGUUAAGUCCCGCAACGAGCGCAACCCUUAUGGUCAGUUACUACGCAAGAGGACUCUGGCCAGACUGCCGUUGACAAAACGGAGGAAGGUGGGGAUGACGUCAAAUCAUCAUGCCCUUUAUGACUUGGGCUACACACGUACUACAAUGGCGUUAAACAAAGAGAAGCAAGACCGCGAGGUGGAGCAAAACUCAGAAACAACGUCCCAGUUCGGACUGCAGGCUGCAACUCGCCUGCACGAAGUCGGAAUUGCUAGUAAUCGUGGAUGAGCAUGCCACGGUGAAUACGUUCCCGGG
rnacentral:rRNA from 1 species